UGUUGUAAACAACUCGUUGUCUUAUACAGAAAAAAAAAAAAAAAUCACCGAACAAAACGAAGAUCAUCGAUCGAUCUCCAGAAUCAAAUGCGAUAUUCUCAUAAGAACAUCAUUACUUCGUCUUCUAUUAUACCUCUGGUGGCUUUCAAUUCGUGAAUUCUACGAAGAGAUAAUCUUUUUAUUAAAUCAAAUUUACCUUUCUACAGUUUUUGCACAUGUCGGUUCAAUCUUCAAUCUUUAAAAUUUUCUGUUUUAAUCGUAUAGAACCGCCAAGGAUUGUCAAGAAGCCGGAUCUUAUAUGGGUGAAGGAUGAUUAGCAAGUAAUUUCAAACAAUGGAGGAGACAAUGGGAUUUUGUCGCAGCUUUUCAGAAAUAUAUGUGUCAAAGCACUGGAGAAUAUCAGAGUAAAAUCUUAAUGAUUUGUUAACCCAAACGGAUCGAAUCGAGGAUCCGCGUCGGGACCGUAUAACGCUGGAUAGGAUCCGCGUCUUUAUCCGAAAAGCAAACCAGGAUCCGCGUUAUGUACCCUAUCAAUUUGUCCAAUUUAACCUUAUCCGAAUUUUUUAAUUUAUUCUUUAACUACAAAAAUACCAAUGGCAUUCUUCGUAAUAUUCUACAAACUAAAGGUUAUUUUAUAUUUAGUGAUUCCCAAUUAAUAGUAUAGAU